rnacentral:sRNA from 1 species
AUUUCUUCUCAGGCUCCAAGAAGGGGAAAAAAAUGAAGAUUUUGAUACUUGGUAUUUUUCUGUUUUUAUGUAGUACCCCAGCCUGGGCGAAAGAAAAGCAUUAUUACAUUGGAAUUAUUGAAACGACUUGGGAUUAUGCCUCUGACCAUGGGGAAAAGAAACUUAUUUCUGUUGACACGGAACAUUCCAAUAUCUAUCUUCAAAAUGGCCCAGAUAGAAUUGGGAGACUAUAUAAGAAGGCCCUUUAUCUUCAGUACACAGAUGAAACCUUUAGGACAACUAUAGAAAAACCGGUCUGGCUUGGGUUUUUAGGCCCUAUUAUCAAAGCUGAAACUGGAGAUAAAGUUUAUGUACACUUAAAAAACCUUGCCUCUAGGCCCUACACCUUUCAUUCACAUGGAAUAACUUACUAUAAGGAACAUGAGGGGGCCAUCUACCCUGAUAACACCACAGAUUUUCAAAGAGCAGAUGACAAAGUAUAUCCAGGAGAGCAGUAUACAUACAUGUUGCUUGCCACUGAAGAACAAAGUCCUGGGGAAGGAGAUGGCAAUUGCGUGACUAGGAUUUACCAUUCCCACAUUGAUGCUCCAAAAGAUAUUGCCUCAGGACUCAUCGGACCUUUAAUAAUCUGUAAAAAAGAUUCUCUAGAUAAAGAAAAAGAAAAACAUAUUGACCGAGAAUUUGUGGUGAUGUUUUCUGUGGUGGAUGAAAAUUUCAGCUGGUACCUAGAAGACAACAUUAAAACCUACUGCUCAGAACCAGAGAAAGUUGACAAAGACAAUGAAGACUUCCAGGAGAGUAACAGAAUGUAUUCUGUGAAUGGAUACACUUUUGGAAGUCUCCCAGGACUCUCCAUGUGUGCUGAAGACAGAGUAAAAUGGUACCUUUUUGGUAUGGGUAAUGAAGUUGAUGUGCACGCAGCUUUCUUUCACGGGCAAGCAUUGACUAACAAGAACUACCGUAUUGAUACAAUCAACCUCUUUCCUGCUACCCUGUUUGAUGCUUAUAUGGUGGCCCAGAACCCUGGAGAAUGGAUGCUCAGCUGUCAGAAUCUAAACCAUCUGAAAGCCGGUUUGCAAGCCUUUUUCCAGGUCCAGGAGUGUAACAAGUCUUCAUCAAAGGAUAAUAUCCGUGGGAAGCAUGUUAGACACUACUACAUUGCCGCUGAGGAAAUCAUCUGGAACUAUGCUCCCUCUGGUAUAGACAUCUUCACUAAAGAAAACUUAACAGCACCUGGAAGUGACUCAGCGGUGUUUUUUGAACAAGGUACCACAAGAAUUGGAGGCUCUUAUAAAAAGCUGGUUUAUCGUGAGUACACAGAUGCCUCCUUCACAAAUCGAAAGGAGAGAGGCCCUGAAGAAGAGCAUCUUGGCAUCCUGGGUCCUGUCAUUUGGGCAGAGGUGGGAGACACCAUCAGAGUAACCUUCCAUAACAAAGGAGCAUAUCCCCUCAGUAUUGAGCCGAUUGGGGUGAGAUUCAAUAAGAACAACGAGGGCACAUACUAUUCCCCAAAUUACAACCCCCAGAGCAGAAGUGUGCCUCCUUCAGCCUCCCAUGUGGCACCCACAGAAACAUUCACCUAUGAAUGGACUGUCCCCAAAGAAGUAGGACCCACUAAUGCAGAUCCUGUGUGUCUAGCUAAGAUGUAUUAUUCUGCUGUGGAUCCCACUAAAGAUAUAUUCACUGGGCUUAUUGGGCCAAUGAAAAUAUGCAAGAAAGGAAGUUUACAUGCAAAUGGGAGACAGAAAGAUGUAGACAAGGAAUUCUAUUUGUUUCCUACAGUAUUUGAUGAGAAUGAGAGUUUACUCCUGGAAGAUAAUAUUAGAAUGUUUACAACUGCACCUGAUCAGGUGGAUAAGGAAGAUGAAGACUUCCAGGAAUCUAAUAAAAUGCACUCCAUGAAUGGAUUCAUGUAUGGGAAUCAGCCGGGUCUCACUAUGUGCAAAGGAGAUUCGGUCGUGUGGUACUUAUUCAGCGCCGGAAAUGAGGCCGAUGUACAUGGAAUAUACUUUUCAGGAAACACAUAUCUGUGGAGAGGAGAACGGAGAGACACAGCAAACCUCUUCCCUCAAACAAGUCUUACGCUCCACAUGUGGCCUGACACAGAGGGGACUUUUAAUGUUGAAUGCCUUACAACUGAUCAUUACACAGGCGGCAUGAAGCAGAAAUAUACUGUGAACCAAUGCAGGCGGCAGUCUGAGGAUUCCACCUUCUACCUGGGAGAGAGGACAUACCAUAUCGCAGCAGUGGAGGUGGAAUGGGAUUAUUCCCCACAAAGGGAGUGGGAAAAGGAGCUGCAUCAUUUACAAGAGCAGAAUGUUUCAAAUGCAUUUUUAGAUAAGGGAGAGUUUUACAUAGGCUCAAAGUACAAGAAAGUUGUGUAUCGGCAGUAUACUGAUAGCACAUUCCGUGUUCCAGCGGAGAGAAAAGCUGAAGAAGAACAUCUGGGAAUUCUAGGUCCACAACUUCAUGCAGAUGUUGGAGACAAAGUCAAAAUUAUCUUUAAAAACAUGGCCACAAGGCCCUACUCAAUACAUGCCCAUGGGGUACAAACAGAGAGUUCUACAGUUACUCCAACAUUACCAGGUGAAACUCUCACUUACGUAUGGAAAAUCCCAGAAAGAUCUGGAGCUGGAACAGAGGAUUCUGCUUGUAUUCCAUGGGCUUAUUAUUCAACUGUGGAUCAAGUUAAGGACCUCUACAGUGGAUUAAUUGGCCCCCUGAUUGUUUGUCGAAGACCUUACUUGGAAGUAUUCAAUCCCAGAAAGAAACUGGAAUUUGCCCUUCUGUUUCUAGUUUUUGAUGAGAAUGAAUCUUGGUACUUAGAUGACAACAUCAAAACAUACUCUGAUCACCCCGAGAAAGUAAACAAAGAUGAUGAGGAAUUCAUAGAAAGCAAUAAAAUGCAUGCUAUUAAUGGAAGAAUGUUUGGAAACCUACAAGGCCUCACAAUGCAUGUGGGAGAUGAAGUCAACUGGUAUCUGAUGGGAAUGGGCAAUGAAAUAGACUUACACACUGUACAUUUUCACGGCCAUAGCUUCCAAUACAAGGUAAGAGCUAUCCAUGGCAAUUACUCUUGCUCUGUUUGAAAAUGUUUUAAUACAA